rnacentral:rRNA from 1 species
CCUACGGGUGGCAGCAGUGGGGGAUAUUGCACAAUGGGGGAAACCCUGAUGCAGCGACGCCGCGUGGGCGAAGAAGCGCCUCGGCGCGUAAAGCCCUGUCAGCAGGGAAGAAAAUGACGGUACCUGAAGAAGAAGCCCCGGCUAACUACGUGCCAGCAGCCGCGGUAAUACGUAGGGGGCAAGCGUUAUCCGGAUUUACUGGGUGUAAAGGGGGCGCAGGCGGGGUUGUAAGUCAGGAGUGAAAGGCCGGGGCCCAACCCGGGGACGGCUUUUGGAACUGCGUGGCUAGAGUGCAGGAGGGGCAGGCGGAAUUCCUGGUGUAGCGGUGAAAGGCGUAGAUAUCAGGAGGAACACCGGUGGCGAAGGCGGCCUGCUGGACUGCAACUGACGUUGAGGCCCGAAAGCGUGGGGAGCAAACAGGAUUAGAUACCCUGGUAGUC